UACGUAGGGUGCAAGCGUUGUCCGGAAUUAUUGGGCGUAAAGAGCUCGUAGGCGGUUUGUCGCGUCUGCUGUGAAAACUCAGGGCUUAACCCUGAGCCUGCAGUGGGUACGGGCAGACUAGAGUGAUGUAGGGGAGACUGGAAUUCCUGGUGUAGCGGUGAAAUGCGCAGAUAUCAGGAGGAACACCGGUGGCGAAGGCGGGUCUCUGGGCCGAUAUUGACGCUGAGGAGCGAAAGCGUGGGGAGCGAACAGG
rnacentral:rRNA from 1 species